ACGUAUCAGAAGUGCGAAUGCUGACAUGAGUAACGAUAAGGGGGGUGAAAAACCUCCCCGCCGAAAGAUCAAGGUUUCCUGUCCAACGUUAAUCGGGACAGGGUGAGUCGGCCCCUAAGGCGAGGGCGAAAGCCGUAGUCGAUGGGAAAUCGGUUAAAAUUCCGAUACCGAUUCUUACUGCGAUGGAGAGACGGAGAAGGCUAGGCUAGCACGGCGUUGGUUGUCCGUGUUUAAGCGUGUAGGUAGGGGGAUUAGGUAAAUCCGGUCCCUCGUUAAUCUGAGACGCGAUGACGAUCCUGAAGGGAAACCUGACGGAGAAGUAGUCGAUGCCAUACUUCCAGGAAAAUCUUCUAAGCUUCAGGUAAGAAUUGACCGUACUGUAAACCGACACAGGUGAUCAGGUAGAGAAUACCAAGGCGCUUGAGAGAA
rnacentral:rRNA from 1 species